CACAUGGCAGUGAUGAUGUAGACGUGGAUGACAGGCCAGAAGAAAAUUCAAAUGCAUCCCAGGCAUUAACCUCAGAUGCAGAAGAAACACCACUACCGCCUGUAGGACCACUCCUAAUAGAAGAUAUUUGUGCUGAAAACGAGAAAGGAAGACGCCUAGUCGUGAAAAGCAUGAGAAAAGUGUUACACUCUUUUGUAGAGUUGCAUGAAGAAGAAGAUGCACCUCAAAAAGGUUACAACUAUUCUGCAUCUAUUGAGAAGUACCUCAGCAGCGGAAACCUGGGCGUCCAAGAAGAUGUUCUGACAGAUGUUGAAUAUUUUCUAGAUGCACUAGAUACUAUUCCUGUCGACCGCAACAGAGACGUAUGUGAAAUUCUGCUGACAAUGCCCGUGAACCAGCAAUCGGAUAGAUCCAUGUUCAAUUUAUA